rnacentral:rRNA from 1 species
GGUGAACGCUGGCGGCGUGCUUAAGACAUGCAAGUCGAACGGCAGUCUUCGGACUGUAGUGGCGCACGGGUGAGUAACGAGUAACUGACCUACCCCAAAGUCGCGGAUAACGAUUCGAAAGAAUCGCUAAUACGUGAUGUGCUGUCAGCUUGUGUUCUGCCAGUAAAGAUUGAUUGCUUUGGGUUGGGGUUGCGUUCCAUCAGCUAGUUGGUGGGGUAAAGGCCGACCAAGGCGACGACGGAUAGCCGGCCUGAGAGGGUGGCCGGCCACAGGGGCACUGAGACACGGGUCCCACUCCUACGGGAGGCAGCAGUUAGGAAUCUUCCACAAUGGGCGAAAGCCUGAUGGAGCGACGCCGCGUGAGGGAUGAAGGUCUUCGGAUCGUAAACCUCUGAAUCAGGGACGAAAGACACUUCGGUGGGAUGACGGUACCUGAGUAAUAGCACCGGCUAACUCCGUGCCAGCCGCCGCCGUAACAC